rnacentral:rRNA from 1 species
AUUGAACGCUGGCGGCAGGCCUAAAACAUGCAAGUCGAACGCCCUAGCAAUAGGGAGUGGCGCACGGGUGAGUAACAUGUGGGAAUAUGCCUUUUGGUACGGAACAACGUUUGGAAACGAACGCUAAUACCGUAUGGUCCCUCCGGGGUAAAGAUUUAUCGCCAAAAGAUUAGCCCGCACUAGAUUAGCUAGUUGGUAAGGUAAUGGCUUACCAAGGCGACGAUCUAUAGCUGUUCUGAGAGGAAGAUCAGCCACACUGGGACUGAGACACGGCCCAGACUCCUACGGGAGGCAGCAGUUAGGAAUAUUGGACAAUGGGCGCAAGCCUGAUCCAGCCAUGCCGCGUGAGUGAUGAAGGCCUUCGGGUUGUAAAGCUCUUUAGCCGACGAAUAUAAUGACUGUAGUCGGAGAAUAAGCCCCGGCUAACUUCGUGCCAGCAGCCGCGGUAAUAC